UACGUAGGUGGCAAGCGUUGUCCGGAUUUACUGGGCGUAAAGAGCGCGCAGGCGGUCGAAUAAGUCGAAUGUGAAAGCCCCCGGCUUAACUGGGGAGGGUCAUUCGAUACUGCUCGACUUGAAGGCAGGAGAGGGUAGUGGAAUUCCCGGUGUAGUGGUGAAAUGCGUAGAUAUCUGGAGGAACACCGGUGGCGAAGGCGGCAUCCUGGACCGGCAUUGACGCUGAGGCGCGAAAGCCAGGGGAGCAAACGGG
rnacentral:rRNA from 1 species